UACGUAGGGUGCAAGCGCUGUCCGGAAUUAUUGGGCGUAAAGAGCUUGUAGGCGGUUUGUCGCGUCUGCUGUGAAAUUUCGGGGCUCAACCCCGAACUUGCAGUGGGUACGGGCAGACUAGAGUGUGGUAGGGGAGACUGGAAUUCCUGGUGUAGCGGUGAAAUGCGCAGAUAUCAGGAGGAACACCGGUGGCGAAGGCGCCACUCUGGGCCGGUACUGACGCUGAGGAGCGAAAGCGUGGGGAGCGAACAGG
rnacentral:rRNA from 1 species